GUUCGGGUGACCCCAAAGAGCAGCAGCAGGAUGAGAGACUCCUUCCUGAUCCAGGGAAGUUCAGCUCCUGCUCUUGUGGCACAAACCCUUGUGCAGCCUGCCAGAGAACUGGGGAAGAAUCUGUGCCGGGGACAGCAGUGACUAAUUUCACGGCAAGGAGUAAACUUUUGUGUGUGAUUUUGUCUCACCACGUGCCUGGAAGUAGGUACAAAGGAAUAACAACUGAGGACCUCAGGUACAGAGACAGCUGCUGGGUGGGCCAGGUCAUGAGCUGACAUCAUCAGAGGAUUUCAUUAACCUGACCAGAAAGUAAGGAGAUAAGAGACCAGAAAUCACAUUUCCACUUGUGUUGAGAUGAGCAUUUGAAGGACAGGAUUGCUGCUGACUGCAAAUAGUGGAGCCUGCAGGACUUUUUCCAGAAACAAAUUAAAAAAUACAUUACUUUGAGUAUUAUAGCUCAUGCUUAUUUGAGGAAAGAAGAAGGUAUUUUUCGAAGACAGAAGAAGGAUGUUCUCCUGUAUUUCUAAGGAAAGUAAUAAUGAAGAUCAACACUUGA